rnacentral:rRNA from 1 species
CGAACGCUGGCGGCAGGCUUAAUACAUGCAAGUCGAACGGCUCGUCGGAGCAGUGGCCGACGGGUGAGUAACGCGUGGGAAUGUGCCCUUUGGUGCGGAACACGACAGGGUAACUUGUGCUAAUACCGUAGGUGCCCUUCGGGGGCAAGAUUUAACGCCAUUGGAGCAGCCCGCGUUGGAUUAGGUAGUUGGUGAGGUAAAGGCUCACCAAGCCUACGAUCCAUAGCUGGACUGAGAGGAUGAUCAGCCACACUGGGACUGAGACACGGCCCAGACUCCUACGGGAGGCAGCAGUAGGGAAUCUUGCACAAUGGGCGAAAGCCUGACGCAGCGAUGCCGCGUGAAUGAUGAAGGUCUUAGGUUUGUAAAAUUCUUUCACCAGGGAAGAUAAUGACGGUACCCGGAGAAGAAGCCCCGGCUAACUUCGUGCCAGCAGCCGCCGUAA